GUGGGGAAUCUUCCGCAAUGGACGAAAGUCUGACGGAGCAACGCCGCGUGAGUGAAGAAGGUUUUCGGAUCGUAAAGCUCUUUCGUUAGGGACGAACGUGCUCUUUGUGAAUAAUGAGGAGUAAUGACGGUACCUAAAUAAGAAGCCACGGCUAACUACGUGCCAGCAGCCGCGGUAAUACGUAGGUGGCAAGCGUUGUCCGGACUUAUUGGGCGGAAAGCGCGCGCAGGCGGGAUAUCAAGUCUGUCUUAAAAGUGCGAGGCUCAACCUCGUGAGGGGACAGAAACUGGUAUUCUUGAGUGUCGGAGAGGAAAGUGGAAUUCCAAGUGUAGCGGUGAAAUGCGUAGAGAUUUGGAAGAACACCAGUGGCGAAGGCGACUUUCUGGACGAUGUCUGACGCUGAGGCGCGAAAGCUAGGGGAGCGAACGGGAUUAGAAACCCCGGUAGGUCC
rnacentral:rRNA from 1 species